UACCUUUUGUAUAAUGGGUCAGCGACUUAUAUUCAGUAGCGAGGUUAACCGUAUAGGGGAGCCGUAGAGAAAUCGAGUCUUAAUAGGGCGUUUAGUUGCUGGGUAUAGACCCGAAACCAGGCGAUCUAUCCAUGAGCAGGUUGAAGGUUGGGUAACACUAACUGGAGGACCGAACCCACUGUCGUUGAAAAGCCAGGGGAUGACUUGUGGAUAGGGGUGAAAGGCUAAUCAAGCCUGGUGAUAGCUGGUUCUCCCCGAAAGCUAUUUAGGUAGCGCCUCGGACGAAUACCAUAGGGGGUAGAGCACUGUUUCGGCUAGGGGGUCAUCCCGACUUACCAAACCGAUGCAAACUCCGAAUACCUAUGAGUACUAUCCGGGAGACAGACUGCGGGUGCUAACGUCCGUAGUCAAGAGGAAAACAAUCCAGACCGCCAGCUAAGGCCCCAAAAUCAUAGUUAAGUGGGAAACGAUGUGGGAAGGCAUAGACAGCUAGGAGGUUGGCUUAGAAGCAGCCACCCUUUAAAGAAAGCGUAAUAGCUCACUAGUCGAGUCGGCCUGCGCGGAAGAUGUAACGGGGCUAAAACUAUGUGCCGAAGCUGCGGAUGUAUACUUUGUAUACGUGGUAGGGGAGCGUUCUGUAAGCCGAUGAAGGUGUGUUGAGAAGCAUGCUGGAGGUAUCAGAAGUGCGAAUGCUGACGUGAGUAACGACAAAACGGGUGAAAAACCCGUUCGCCGAAAGACCAAGGGUUCCAGUCCAACGUUAAUCGGGGCUGGGUGAGUCGACCCCUAAGGCGAGGCCGAAAGGCGUAGUCGAUGGGAAAAUGGUUAAUAUUCCAUUACUUCUGUGUAAUGCGAUGAGAGGACGGAGAAGGCUAAAUCAGCCUGGCGUUGGUUGUCCAGGUGAAAGGAUGUAGGCAUGUAUCUUAGGCAAAUCCGGGGUACUCUAUGCUGAGAUCUGAUAGCAAGCUGUACUUGUACAGCGAAGUGGUUGAUGCCAUGCUUCCAGGAAAAGUCUCUAAGCUUCAGUUACACAGGAAUCGUACCCGAAACCGACACAGGUGGUCAGGUCGAGUAGACCAAGGCGCUUGAGAGAACUCUGCUGAAGGAACUAGGCAAAAUGGUACCGUAACUUCGGGAGAAGGUACGCUGUUGUUGGUGAUGGAACUCGCUUCCUGAGCUGACGACAGCCGCAGAAACCAGGCCGCUGCAACUGUUUAUUAAAAACAUAGCACUCUGCAAACACGAAAGUGGACGUAUAGGGUGUGAUGCCUGCCCGGUGCUGGAAGGUUAAUUGAUGGGGUUAGCGUAAGCGAAGCUCUUGAUCGAAGCCCCAGUAAACGGCGGCCGUAACUAUAACGGUCCUAAGGUAGCGAAAUUCCUUGUCGGGUAAGUUCCGACCUGCACGAAUGGCAUAAUGAUGGCGGCGCUGUCUCCAGCAGAGGCUCAGUGAAAUCGAAAUCGCUGUGAAGAUGCAGUGUACCCGCGGCUAGACGGAAAGACCCCGUGAACCUUUACUGCAGCUUGACACUGAACUUUGACCUUACUUGUGUAGGAUAGGUGGGAGGCUUUGAAGCUGGAACGCUAGUUCCAGUGGAGCCGUCCUUGAAAUACCACCCUGGUAAUGUUGAGGUUCUAACUCUGUCCCGUGAUCCGGGACGAGGACCGUGUCUGGUGGGUAGUUUGACUGGGGCGGUCUCCUCCUAAAGAGUAACGGAGGAGUACGAAGGUGCGCUCAGCGUGGUCGGAAAUCACGCGUAGAGUAUAAAGGCAAAAGCGCGCUUAACUGCGAGACCCACAAGUCGAGCAGGUACGAAAGUAGGUCUUAGUGAUCCGGUGGUUCUGUAUGGAAGGGCCAUCGCUCAACGGAUAAAAGGUACUCUGGGGAUAACAGGCUGAUACCGCCCAAGAGUUCAUAUCGACGGCGGUGUUUGGCACCUCGAUGUCGGCUCAUCUCAUCCUGGGGCUGAAGCAGGUCCCAAGGGUAUGGCUGUUCGCCAUUUAAAGAGGUACGCGAGCUGGGUUUAGAACGUCGUGAGACAGUUCGGUCCCUAUCUACCGUGGGCGCUGGAAAUUUGAGAGGAUCUGCUCCUAGUACGAGAGGACCAGAGUGGACGAACCUCUGGUGUACCGGUUGUGACGCCAGUCGCAUCGCCGGGUAGCUAUGUUCGGAAGGGAUAACCGCUGAAAGCAUCUAAGCGGGAAGCCUACCUCAAGAUAAGAUUUCCCUAGGACUUUAUGUCCUCUAAAGAGCCGUUCGAGACUAGGACGUUGAUAGGUUGGAUGUGGAAGCAUAGUGAUAUGUGAAGCUGACCAAUACUAAUUGCUCGUGAGGCUUGACUAU
rnacentral:rRNA from 1 species